CCUACGGGAGGCAGCAGUGAGGAAUAUUGGUCAAUGGGCGCUAGCCUGAACCAGCCAAGUAGCGUGAAGGAUGACUGCCCUAUGGGUUGUAAACUUCUUUUAUAUGGGAAUAAAGUGCAGUAUGUAUACUGCUUUGCAUGUACCUUAUGAAUAAGGAUCGGCUAACUCCGUGCCAGAAGCCGCGGUAAUACGGAGGAUCCGAGCGUUAUCCGGAUUUAUUGGGUUUAAAGGGAGCGUAGGCGGGUUGUUAAGUCAGUUUUGAAAGUUUGCGGCUCAACCGUAAAAUUGCAGUUGAUACUGGCAUUCUUGAGUACAGUAGCGGUAGGCGGAAUUCGUGGUGUAGCGGUGAAAUGCUUAGAUAUCACGAAGAACUCCGAUUGCGAAGGCAGCCUGCUGGACUGUAACUGACGCUGAUGCUCGAAAGUGUGGGUAUCAAACAGGAUUAGAUACCCGAGUAGUC
rnacentral:rRNA from 1 species